rnacentral:rRNA from 1 species
UACGGGGGGGGUAAGCGUUGUUCGGAAUUACUGGGGGUAAAGGGCUCGUAGGCGGCCAACUAAGUCAGACGUGAAAUCCCUCAGCUUAACUGGGGAACUGCGUCUGAUACUGGAUGGCUUGGAUUCGGGAGAGGAAUGCGGAAUUCCAGGUGUAGCGGUGAAAUGCGUAGAUAUCUGGAGGAACACCGGUGGCGAAGGCGGCAUUCUGGACCGAUAUUGACGCUGAGGAGCGAAAGCCAGGGGAGCAAACGGG